rnacentral:lncRNA from 1 species
AGUUUUUUUUAAAUUUUUUAAAUUUUAAAAAUUUAUUCAUUUUUUAAUCUAAAUUUAUUUAUUUUAAUUGGAGGCUAAUUACUUUACAAUAUGUUAAUUUAAAUGUUUAGCAUUAGAUAGUGGCUCCAUUUAUCCUUUAUAAUGCUUUUCCCCUUGAAAGUCCAUUUAAUCAAACAGCAAUACAAAAAAUUAACUUCCUUUGAAUUGUUUUUACCUAGUAUUUGUUUUUCUAACCUUUUAGCUUCAAUCUUUUUGUCUUUAUAAUUUUGAUGAGUAUUUUCUAAAUGUGGUAGUAUAGAAUUUUUGCUUCCUAAAUAAAAGUCUGCCUAUUCAUUGGUGUAUUUAGUCCAUUUUCUUUUGAUAUAGUGGAACUUACUUUCACUAUUUCAUUUUACUCUUAAAAUAUGUUUCUUUUAAAUGUUUCUCCCCUCAUUUUAUUCUUUCUUUUGGAGCUUAAAUGAUCAGGAUAGAUGCUAAACUGCAAGGAUAACGAAAAGAAUUCAAGUAGGUUAAAGAGCAUAAAUACUGACUUCUCUCUCAUGGGACAUUUCAGAAGUGAGCCAAGAUGGGGAUGGGAGAUGGGAUGGGGGGCUCAGGAUGGGAGACACAUGGCUUAUUUGUGUCAGUAUAUGGCAAAAACCACCAUAAUAUUGUAAUUAGCCUCCAAUUAAAUAAAUUUUUUUUAAAAGAAAAAUACCAGGUUGAGAUACUAAAUGUCAUAAUGUCAUAUUACAGAGGCUAUGGGAUCUUAGUUCCCCCGCCAAGGAUUGAACCCAGGCUCUUGGCAGUGAAAGUGCCAAGAGUCCUAACCACUGGACUGCCAAGGGAAUUCCCAGACUGGUAUUUUCUUAGUUACAUUGAACUUACGCAUUCUUUUUGUUUUAAGCGAGUUUUAUUUUACUUACUACUUUUUAAUUGA